rnacentral:rRNA from 1 species
AGAGUUUGAUCCUGGCUCAGGAUGAACGCUGGCGGCGUGCCUAACACAUGCAAGUCGAGCGAUUUACUUCGGUAAAGAGCGGCGGACGGGUGAGUAACGCGUGGGUAACCUGCCCUGUACACACGGAUAACAUACCGAAAGGUAUGCUAAUACGAGAUAAUAUGCUUUUAUCGCAUGGUAGAAGUAUCAAAGCUCCGGCGGUACAGGAUGGACCCGCGUCUGAUUAGCUAGUUGGUAAGGUAACGGCUUACCAAGGCGACGAUCAGUAGCCGACCUGAGAGGGUGAUCGGCCACAUUGGAACUGAGACACGGUCCAAACUCCUACGGGAGGCAGCAGUGGGGAAUAUUGCACAAUGGGCGAAAGCCUGAUGCAGCAACGCCGCGUGAGCGAUGAAGGCCUUCGGGUCGUAAAGCUCUGUCCUCAAGGAAGAUAAUGACGGUACUUGAGGAGGAAGCCCCGGCUAACUACGUGCCAGCAGCCGCGGUAAUACGUAGGGGGCUAGCGUUAUCCGGAAUUACUGGGCGUAAAGGGUGCGUAGGUGGUUUCUUAAGUCAGAGGUGAAAGGUUACGGCUCAACCGUAGUAAGCCUUUGAAACUGGGAAACUUGAGUGCAGGAGAGGAGAGUGGAAUUCCUAGUGUAGCGGUGAAAUGCGUAGAUAUUAGGAGGAACACCAGUUGCGAAGGCGGCUCUCUGGACUGUAACUGACACUGAGGCACGAAAGCGUGGGGAGCAAACAGGAUUAGAUACCCUGGUAGUCCACGCCGUAAACGAUGAGUACUAGCUGUCGGAGGUUACCCCCUUCGGUGGCGCAGCUAACGCAUUAAGUACUCCGCCUGGGAAGUACGCUCGCAAGAGUGA